rnacentral:sRNA from 1 species
AUCGAACAGGGUCUCAGCAGGAGGGGCGUUCAUGUUUCUCGACCAUGCGGUGGUAGGCGGUGUGAUCACGGUCAUGCUGAUGCUGAGUUUUUUCUCAGGCCUGGCCUUAUACAUCUGGAGGGACUCGCACAAGCGCGGCAAGGAUUGAGUCUUCUAAAAAGAGCACGCAAGGCAUUUUGGGCGACUUCGGUUGCCCAUUUUUUUG